GGGUGCCAUGGGAGGAGGGGCAACCCCCUAAGCAAAAAGCCCCCAGUCCCUGGAGCUCGGCUGUGUGGCAGGCUAUGCUGCCAGGGCGUAGGUCUGGGGGGGUCUCCAGUAGGAAGGGCCUGCGGGGCGUCGGGAGAGCUCUGCUGCCACUUCCCGGUGGGACUUAGCUGGUCAGCCCUGCCCUCAGUUUCCCCAUCCACCCAUCCGGGCUGGAGGGAUGUUGGUGGCCUGUUCCUCAUCUCCUCUUCCUUCCCCUUGCUCCCAUCACCCACCCUCCCCUGCUGCCCCCCAGGAGCAUCCGGUGCCUGAGAAACAUCAUCCACUGGAACCUGAUCUCGGCCUUCAUCCUGCGCAAUGCCACGUGGUUUGUGGUCCAGCUCACCAUGAGCCCCGAGGUCCACCAGAGCAACGUGGCCUGGUGCAGGUUGGUAACAGCCGCCUACAACUACUUCCACGUGACCAACUUCUUCUGGAUGUUUGGGGAGGGCUGCUACCUGCACACAGCCAUCGUGCUCACCUACUCCACCGACCGGCUGCACAAGUGGAUGUUUGUCUGCAUAGGCUGGGGUGUGCCUUUCCCCAUCAU